AGUAGUAGUUUGGCUCCGACAGGCGAAGUUGAGGUUGAAAGGGGGAGGGAAAAUUGAGGGUAAAUAAGGAGACUUUACCGUGGAUGGUAAAAAAUGGGGAGAGAUAAUUGUGCGGGCAGAGAGGCUAUAGUCCAUUAACAGAGAGCGAAAUCCCUAAAGAGAGAGAUAAGUGCUGCUGCUAAUAAUGUAAUGAGGUUCCCAGUGAAGUGGGCUGUGCCUCUGAUACAUAAGAUAUUGGAUAUGGAUAAGGGUUUAGACUAAGGCAAGAGAAAAAGUAGGACACUGGCAGAAAAUGUAGGGGCGGCCAGGGGGC
rnacentral:misc_RNA from 1 species